rnacentral:lncRNA from 1 species
CUGGUGACCUAUUAUCCAAGCUACACUGACAUGAAUCAACCUGUUCAGGUAGGACUCCUCAAAAUCUAUUUAUUUCCUUGAGGUAUGAUUCCCGGUGGUUUUUCCAGGUAUUCUUGUGUACUUCUGUACAGCAAUUAGGUUGGUUAGCAAAUCUAAGUAGCCCAAAAGUGUGAGCGUUCAUGUGUGGCCAAGUGUUUGACAUGUGACAUGGACUAGACGCAAGCAUGUUGAAGAUGAGAUACUUGUUUUUUUUUUUACUUUGUAUGCUAGUAUGUAUUGUGGUUCAAAGAGUAGCGCAUGCACAAUAUAGACGGCAGUCUGGUAUUAUUGCCGCUCAGAUCCUUCUCAGUGAAUGAUACUGUAGUUUUUUUUGUUGUUUUAUACAUAAAAAUCAUAAUGAAAUAGGUUGUUGCUUGCAAAGUAAAUUAACACAUCCACAGUCAAUAAGAUAAAACAAUUAUAGCAUCAUUAUAUUGAAUAAUAGUUUGUUUUUCCACAUUGUACAAUUGCAAUACUUAAAUGCAUAUACAGUACAGUUAUCAACAAGGUGAAUGUUACCCUCAUUAUUUUACUCUACAACAGCUUAGGAAAAAAAAAAGCACAAAUUCUUUGACUUAUCGCACUGAAUGUGCAUAGUUUCUAACCUUAUUAUGUCUUUCUGUUUUGUAAAUACAAAUAUGACUUUAUUCACUGUUACUUAUAUAUUGUAACACAAACCGAUUCAACAGCUCCUCUAAUUCUGCAGGUGGUCCUUCGCGCUAAGAUGAACUUCCUUCUUUGCACACAGUGGACUCCAUGGAGCUGUUCCAGUUUGGACUGUGGUGCUGAGAUCUCGUUGCAGAACGCUGUCAUUGACAGGGAAAACAGUGGAGAAUGGUGCCAGAGAGAGGAAAUCUCAACUCGGCAGGUUCCCAACAACUCUCCAUUUCUACUGGAGUUGAGCGGUGGUUCAUGGGUAGGGAAUAACAAUGGCAUCACUUAUUGGCGAGCUAUUACAGUGGUUGAUGUGAGGAACAGAUCUGACACCAACAAAGCCAACUCAUCACCACAGACCACCAUCCUGCCUCUUCUCAGAGUUCCUUCAAACUGUCAGAGAGACUUUAACCUCUUGGCCUUUGACCCUGAUGGAGAUGAUGUUAGAUGCAGAUAUGGAGAUAAAUCGCUCUUAGAGUGUCACACCUGCACUCCACCACCUGUUCUCAGCCUCUCAUCAGUGAGUAACUAAAGCAAACAAACUCAGCAUAUACCGUUGCAUAAGCACAGGCUCAUGUGUGUCUAAACAUAUAUAGGUUGAUCAUUUCCUAUUUAUCUUCUGUCUUUCACAGUCCUGUACGUUGUCAUUCAGCCCAACAAGCAGCAGUAAUGAAGCAGCGUAUGUUGUUCAGAUGGUGAUGGAGGACUUUCCAAAGCAGAAUAUCACCCUGACUCAAACUAAUGGUUCACAGGAGAUGAAAAGCAACAAUGAUGCCGUCAGCAAGAUUCCAGUCCAGUUUGUUGUAAGCGGUGAGAUGUGUCUGACAGGCUGGACGUCAAUGAACAACAAGCUGCAACUAAGUUAGAAAAAUGUAAUCUCAUGACUGAGCUGAUCUUUAGUCCUUUAGUUUGGAUGAAAUAUGUGAUGAUUGAUGAACUCAGUAGGGAAAAUUUUUUUGUCACUGAGUUCAUCAAUCAACAUAUUUGGUGUAUUUGUUUCAGUGGAUCCUGUGGUGCCGUCCUGCA